CAGUAGCCGCGGUAAUACGUAGGGUGCGAGCGUUAAUCGGAAUUACUGGGCGUAAAGCGUGCGCAGGCGGUUAUAUAAGACAGAUGUGAAAUCCCCGGGCUCAACCUGGGACCUGCAUUUGUGACUGUAUAGCUAGAGUACGGUAGAGGGGGAUGGAAUUCCGCGUGUAGCAGUGAAAUGCGUAGAUAUGCGGAGGAACACCGAUGGCGAAGGCAAUCCUCUGGACCUGUACUGACGCUCAUGCACGAAAGCGUGGGGAGCAAACAGGAUUAGAUACCCGCGUAGUCCCUGUCUCUUAUAA
rnacentral:rRNA from 1 species